ensembl:lncRNA
GCCCAACACAGCUCCGUUAUUGACAUUUAUUUACACCUGGAAAAAAAAUAUACUUGUUCUUCAUGAUGGUAACAGAACAAUGAAAUACAUUCUAUUGAAAAGCUACUGUGCGUAAUAUGAUAACAGGGAGAAAAACAUUAGUGGUUAAUGGUUUGAUAGAAAAAUAUUGUUUAUGCUGAAACAUCUGAGUGUGGUUCGGUGUACACGGUUACUUGUUUUACAAAAAUCUUACUUUUCCAUUUAUAUCAUUCUAUAAUAAUCACCACGGCAACAAAUAAAACAUCCGGUACAGUAACUACCAAUAUAAACAAGCAGAUCAAAAAUACAGAUGUUAGAAAAUAUCCAUCGGUAUAACAAACAGGCAUCGUGUCAAAAGCUAUUCGUUAGAAUAUACCUCUAUAAAAUUCAAGCAUGUUAAAAUAGGUUUGUUCUUCAAAUAUAAAACACCAAUGGUUGCCCAACAACCAGUUUUCACAGGUUUGCACCAUGUGCAUGAAAGAACCUACAUCCGUAUUGCGUCCCAUGAUUCUCUGCUGUGACAAAACAGAACCAGCAUCCUAUAUAAUAAAGCAUUCAUAUGGAUUAGAUAGCGUGACGGUCUUUGGUCGCUCACCGCUUUGUCUUUCAGGCUCAAGGCACCAACAGAAAGGUUGCAUUUCCAUCUUUAAAUAUCCAACAUGCAUUAACUUCAUGGAAUAUGAACAGUUGUGAAGCACAAGCCAUAAAAAUGGGUUUUUAUAAGCACAUUUGGAAUAGAAACACCUAGAAUGUUGUUUUCUGUUGCUCGACACAAUCGACAGAUAAAGUGCAACAAGCUCUUUCUCGAUUUCAAACAAUCAUUUAAAAUGCAUUUCAUCCCGUCACGUGACAUUAAAGCAUUGCAAAACCACACACUUGGUCCUAAAAGAGAUGCAAAAUCAUUCAAAUCAAACUAAUCAGAAAACGAAAGGCACGAGAAACUGCAAAACAAACCAUUUUCACCUCUAUAGCUCAAGCGUGUGUAUUUGAAGACUAGAUCUUGUGUAAGUAUACAGUACAGUAUCACGUUCUGCAUGACGAUGUGUAUAUGAUACUGGAAUCGAAGGAAGCCCACAAUCUCAAUGCAUCGGCACUGAUGAUAAAAUAACUAGACUAGUUCUUUCAGGUCAGGUCAGUGAAGGUGGAAAGGGAAGGAAAGAUGAUGUCUAUUUUCCCUCUUGUGGUUAGUCAGUUUAUGAGUUAAAAUAAAAAUAAAUACAUAUAUAAAACUGCACUGGUCUUUGCUGGGUUUGCCUUCAUUAUGAGAGUUAAGUAAUGCCAGACACCUGCAAUAAUGUGCUUAUUGAGCUCGUAAAGAUGAAAUAUAUUCACACUAGUGUCUCUUCAUCAUCAGUUAUAGGUUAGUAGUGUCGGUCUCUGUAAAACAGACCUGUUAUUGCAAUAUUACAUCAGUGAACACGACUCAAAACACAGCGGACUCUCACGAAAACAUUUCCAGGGAAUGUUUCACCCCAAAAUAUAAUAAAAGCCCAUUUUGAGCCCAUUUUCUUCUCUGUAUCCAUGAUAAUUCACAUCAUUGCAUUAUAUCUUGAUUUAAAAAAAAUACUGAAGUAUUUACCAACUGAAUACUUCUUAUUCUUAUUAUCCAUGACAGUUCUCAUCAUAACUUGAUUUUAAAAAAGGCAAACCAAUCACUGAAAUUAUAUUUUACAAUUUAAUACUUCAGUAUGUCAUUCUGUGACGCGUAAAAAAGAGAUUUGUUGCAUUAUAGUAAAGAUAACUGAGGAAAUGUGUUUAAUUAUCAUGCAAAUACCACAAUGUAAAAAAAUUGCAAUUUUAAUACAAUGGAAAAAAAAUUAAAUUAAACUGAAAACUCAGUGGUGAUUAAUUACCAUGAAAAUAUAAAAUAUCAUUACUGUAAUGCAACAAUGCAACAAAUUCCAUUUUGACAGAACUUACAUAUUUACAUUGUGAAGUAUUAAACUGCUAAAUAU